UAGAGUUUGAUCAUGGCUCAGAUUGAACGCUGGCGGCAGGCCUAACACAUGCAAGUCGAACGGUAGCACAGAGAGCUUGCUCUCGGGUGACGAGUGGCGGACGGGUGAGUAAUGUCUGGGAAACUGCCCGAUGGAGGGGGAUAACUACUGGAAACGGUAGCUAAUACCGCAUAACGUCGCAAGACCAAAGUGGGGGACCUUCGGGCCUCACACCAUCGGAUGUGCCCAGAUGGGAUUAGCUAGUAGGUGGGGUAAUGGCUCACCUAGGCGACGAUCCCUAGCUGGUCUGAGAGGAUGACCAGCCACACUGGAACUGAGACACGGUCCAGACUCCUACGGGAGGCAGCAGUGGGGAAUAUUGCACAAUGGGCGCAAGCCUGAUGCAGCCAUGCCGCGUGUAUGAAGAAGGCCUUCGGGUUGUAAAGUACUUUCAGCGGGGAGGAAGGCGAUAAGGUUAAUAGCCUUGUCGAUUGACGUUACCCGCAGAAGAAGCACCGGCUAACUCCGUGCCAGCAGCCGCGGU
rnacentral:rRNA from 1 species